GUGCCAGCAGCCGCGGUAACACGUAGGGGGCGAGCGUUGUCCGGAUUUAUUGGGCGUAAAGAGCUCGUAGGCGGUUCGGUAAGUCGGGUGUGAAAACUCAGGGCUCAACCCUGAGACGCCACCCGAUACUGCCGUGACUCGAGUCCGGUAGGGGAGCGUGGAAUUCCCAGUGUAGCGGUGAAAUGCGCAGAUAUUGGGAGGAACACCAGCGGCGAAGGCGGCGCUCUGGGCCGGAACUGACGCUGAGGAGCGAAAGCGUGGGUAGCGAACAGGAUUAGAAACCCCUGUAGUCC
rnacentral:rRNA from 1 species